UUUGGAGGAACUUCCUGAAAAAUCUCAGUCAAGGAAAAGUAAACUUGAGGAAAGUUAUAAAAAUGAUACUGAGGGAGGUGGAGAAUGGUAUGUGGAGGCUAGUGAAGAAAAUAAAAGUAGGGAGGAGGAAGAAAGAAGAUAAACAAAAAUAUGAGGAAGUGGAAAGUAAGAAAGAUGAUGAUGAUCAACAUUAUUAUAAUGCAUCACCAAUCGGGCAUGAAUUAAUAUUGAAUUCCAAGCAUGAUCCUGUCAAAAGUAUUAGUAUUGACAGGUUUCAAGUUAAGAUACUGAUAGAUAACCCUACAGAACUAACUG
rnacentral:lncRNA from 1 species